GCUUGCGGUCAUACCACGUUGAAUGAACGCCAUCCCGUCCGAUCUGGCAUGUUAAGCAACGUAGGGAUUGGUUAGUACCUGGAUCGGAGACGUCCUGGGAAUCCCAAUUGCUGCAAGCUUUU
rnacentral:rRNA from 1 species